UUUACUUUCAGACUUUUAGAUAAGAAGCAGGGUACACGUCAAAAUUACUUGCUGUCUUUGUACAGUUUUCUAAGGUUAGUUUAGUCAUCUAAUGAAUAACUGUUUCAUGAAUUUCACAGAGGUCAAGGCAGGAGGAUAAACAUUCAGCAAUACUAAUAAUGUGUGGAAUGCCCAUUAAAUGUCAGUAAUGUACCACAACACUGCUUCAAAGCAGCCCUGAAAUCUCACAUUGCUACUUAACAAACCGAAUAUUUACAUGUAGUUUCACCUGAACUACCAGUCUUCUACAAAAUGCCCCAGGACACCAGGACAGUCAUCAUUCCCAGCUACUGUCGUGUGGAACUGAGCCAUCUUUGAGAAGAAACGCUGCAAGGUGACACAGCAGAAAGACGCAUGAAUGAAUGAACAUGGCUGCUAUUAUACCAACAACCAUAAUGCCGCAACAAAAAAAAAGUGAUCGUUCAGCAA